UACGUAGGGGGCGAGCGUUAUCCGGAAUUACUGGGUGUAAAGGGUGCGUAGGCGGCGCGGCAAGUCAGAAGUGAAAGGCUGGGGCUCAACCCCGGGACUGCUUUUGAAACUGCCGUGCUGGAGUACAGGAGAGGAAAGCGGAAUUCCUGGUGUAGCGGUGAAAUGCGUAGAUAUCAGGAAGAACACCAGUGGCGAAGGCGGCUUUCUGGACUGAAACUGACGCUGAGGCACGAAAGCGUGGGGAG
rnacentral:rRNA from 1 species